UAGCUAGUUGAGUGAGUAAAAAAAUAAUGGUUCAAAUUGGGAAUACCCGAGCUAGCUAGCUAGCAGCCUCAUCAAUGAUAAGCUGCAAUAUAUAUCAACACCUCUAAUAUUUUCAUAUUAAUUCGUUCUUCUCAUCUCUUCAGUCUCCCUUCCUUCUCACCAAAAUACUUUCUAAUGGCUGUAACUAUGAGGGUAACAACACCUUUAAUUUGCUUCUUUUUUUUAGCUUCAAUUGUCUUUCUCACUAAUAUGGUCCAGUGCGGAAGAUCCAACAUUACAAUUGAGACUAUUCAUGGAGAAUUGUAAGAUUCUGUGGAUAUCUACAAACAACAGACUCUUCUUGAUCCAAAACUGGGGACAGAAAGACUUAAAGAGGACCAUCGCGGAGGAGCUGGAAAGACAAAGAUUGAAAGCUAUGCAACCAAGACCUAAUUUUACAUAGUAUUAGAGCAAACAAGAUCUUCAUAGCUUUCACGGUCAUUUUUUGAAAUCCUGAAUUUCACUCCUCAUUUUUCUUGUGAAUCAUUUUUCUGGAAACUAAUCUCAGCUCUACAGUUGUUGAUUCA